GGAAGAAACAACUUACGCCAAUCACUGUAGCGGAGGAAACACGUACAAAAUCUGACUUGCAACAUUUUGCUUCAUUUUGACCCGAAAAUUUCUCUCCCCUCUGAAACCCUAGGUCUGGCGAUUUUGGAAGCGACCCAAACAUAUCUCCUGCGAUAUUGAAGAAGAAGGUCAGGUGAUAAUAGUGUUAGUCCUUUGAAGCCCUAAAACAUUCGUUUUAGUGUGAUUACAAGUGUUCUUCAGUUCGGAGUUGUUCGAUUAUGUCUUGGAGACUCUCCCUUUUCCAAAUAUUAAAUGGAUCUGCCCAACUGCUCCUUCUCAACCAAUAACAUUAUUUGGUGGUUUUCCCUCAACUGAUUGGUUUGACGUAAAUGACCUUUCGGAAAAUGCUCAUGAUGAUUUGGAGGGUUUGGAUGCUUUAGCAGAAAAUGUUGCAGGUUUGUUAUCAAUGGAGCCCGCUGACAAUACUUAUCCCCAAAAUAAGCUAACUCAGCCAAAUAAGAGCAUAAUUGAAGCAAUUCUGGGAUGAAUCAAAGAAAGGAGCAAAGUAGAGCAAAAUGAAGCAAAGGGUGGAAUUUCAGCAACUUCGAUCGAUUUUAAGAAAAGUUCAAUUGAUCCAACUUUCAUCGAUCUUAGCACUUCAAGAUGGAUUUGAGCCAUGUUUGCCCUUGUACAAAGAUCUCAAAAGUUCGAUCGAUCCAACUUCCUACUAUGAUCGAUCGAACAUUCUUGUCCUUAUCCAAAUGAUUGAUCUUAUCUAGUUGUGCCACCCUACCAACCACUUUUGUCCUUUUCCCAAAAAUAUCUUCAAAAUAUCUCAGAUUUGUUUUUAUCCAAAAAGGCGCCGCCAUUGAGGAUCGAUCCAACUUCAGUUCGAUAGAUCUCAGCCAUGUUCGAUUGAUCCAAGUCCAAGGUUCGAUCGAUCGAACUUCCUCUAGUGCGAAAAAGUUAAAUUUUCAGCUCAUAAAAAGUUGUCCCUUAUCCAAUUAUUGGGGAAUAUUUGCUCUACGACCCUAGCUCAUUUUGGGUGUCAUUUGACCUACCUAUAUAAGGAUAAGGAUUACUUUUUGUAUCAUAUCAUAUUGUAUCACAUCAUAUCAUAUCAUAUCUUGUAGAACUCUUAAGGAGGAAGAAAAGAAGAGGAGGAGGCUAGAGACACCAUUGGAGACUUUUCAUCAACCAAGGAGCAGAUUUCUUCCAUGGAGCUUACCCUUGAGGGUUGGAAGACAUCAUCCAUAAGUGGCUAGACAUCCUCUUGGGGCUAGAGUUAGCCCUAAGCAUGCUUUCUACUUCUUGAUUUAUGUAUUUUUGAGGGGAUUUGUAUUGUGAUUCAUGUCUUGACACUUUUAUAUAUAUAGAUCUUGUUUAUUCAAUGAUUUAUGCGAUUUAAUGCUUCCAAUUGAUCAUUUCAUUCUAUCCAUAUGUCUAUGUAUGCUAGAAUAGAUGUUCAU